UAAAGGAGACCUACCCACUCAGAUAUUGAAAGCAAUUAGUGAUUAAAUAUUGAGUUGGUCAUCCUGGAAGGUCGGUCGCCGAAAGUUGUAAUCUUUCUUUCAAACUAUAUUUUGGUUCGUAUGGGCUAUUAGCUCAGGUGGUUAGAGCGCACCCCUGAUAAGGGUGAGGUCCCUGGUUCGAGUCCAGGAUGGCCCACCUGAAAAAAGUUACGAGUCAGCAGUUGAAUAAAUUCGAUUGUUGAUAAUUGAUAACUCAUAACUUUUGAUCAAGGGGGGUAAAGAAAAGAGCGUAUGUCAGCACUGUGUUGGCACUCAAGAGUAGGCUAAGUUCUCGAUUAGUGAUGUGUAUUCGGAAAAAAUUCAGCAACUGAGCAUCUUGUUGCCAGACUGCUGGAUGUAUUUCCAGCAAACGAACCUUGAAAACUGCAUAGUGAAGCGAAUAAUUGCAGGCAGACACAGACAUAUAGAGUCGUGUUUGCAUGAAGAAUUACCAAUUGUUUAUU
rnacentral:tRNA from 1 species